CACCCGUUCCCAUACCGAACACGGAAGUUAAGCUCUCUAGCGCCGAUGGUAGUUGGGACCUUGUCCCUGUGAGAGUAGGACGUCGC
rnacentral:rRNA from 1 species